UACAGAGGUCUCAAGCGUUGUUCGGAAUUAUUGGGCGUAAAGGGUGCGUAGGCGGUUUUGUAAGCCAGAUGUGAAAUCCCCGGGCUUAACCUGGGAAUGGCAUUUGGGACUGCAAGGCUUGAGUGCGGCAGAGGAGACUGGAAUUCCUGGUGUAGCAGUGAAAUGCGUAGAUAUCAGGAGGAAUACCGAUGGCGAAGGCAGGUCUCUGGGACGGUACUGACGCUGAGACGCGAAAGCGUGGGGAGCGAACAGG
rnacentral:rRNA from 1 species